GACGAACCGUGCAAACGUUGUUCGGAAUCACUGGGCUUAAAGGGCGCGUAGGCGGUUUCCCAAGUCGGUGGUGAAAUCUUUCAGCUCAACUGGAAAAGUGCCGCCGAUACUGGGAGUCUGAGGGAGGUAGGGGUCGGGGGAACUAAUGGUGGAGCGGUGAAAUGCGUAGAUAUCAUUAGGAACGCCGGUGGCGAAAGCGCCCGACUGGACCUCUUCUGACGCUGAGGCGCGAAAGCCAGGGGAGCAAGCGGG
rnacentral:rRNA from 1 species